GGGGGCGACUAGGCUUCGACGGCGGUUGCGAAGUCAUCAGGUGCAUGCCGAGAGGGUAGUGACUCUCGCUAAACAAUCACUGCAACUAGAAAUAGUUGCCAACGACGAAAACUACGCACUAGCAGCCUAAGCUGCUUACCUCGAUGAAUCGGCGCCCGUGACGGCGAUUCGAGGGCAAAAGUCCACGGGAUAGCGGCGGUCCGCGCCUCGGAGACAACCGCGAAACUUGAACGAGGCUCGCCCUCACGCACCCUGUCCGCCGGGUCGCCAACGGGCUAGAUCAAUAGACGGCCUAAGCAUGUAGAGCCGAUGACGGAGAACCGUCGGACGCGGGUUCGACUCCCGCCGCCUCCACCA
rnacentral:tmRNA from 2 species